rnacentral:lncRNA from 1 species
AACCAAACAGACCCCUAUUUUCCUCGUUGAUUUCGUCUUCCGGCUGCUGAAGUUGGCUUUUCUGGGCGCUCCUAUAUGGCUUCCGGAAUUCAGUUAAGCUUUGAAACUUUAACAGCCCACUAAGCCCAAUUAACUUCCGUAACAAUAGACUGCUUGCUAUUCCAUUAGAUUUCGUGGGAACUUUUGCACAUGCUGACUUUUUCCGCACUUUUAGACUUUUUCCACGAGAUGGAUUUUUUCAAAUUAUAUUCAACAUUUGAUUUCAAAUGUCAAAAUGCAUUUUAUAUGCAUUCAACAUUUUCAUAUACAUGAUUCAACAUUUCACCCAAUCAGAUUCAACAUUUUAGAAAAACUAGUUCAACAAUUUUUAUAUAAAAUGUUGAAAUAUCGUAAUCCAAAUGUUGAAAUAUUGGAUGCAAAAUGUUGAAAGUGCUUGUUGGAAAUGUUGAUGUUCACACAGUUUAAAACGAUGAGAGACACAGCAUUCAAAAAAUCCAGUAACCAUCAGACCUGAGUGCUAAUCUGUUGAAAAGCAUGAUUCGGCAAGUGAGAGGUUAGAGAAAGCAUGCACCAAUCCAUCCGUAGUCAUACAGCGCGUGAUUACUCCACAGUUUCACGACCCCCGCGUCGCUCCCCCCGCAGGCGACACGGGCGGCGCCCUAGCCGCCGCCAAACACCCCCCAACCCUCUCGAGCCCACCUCGCCGCCGCCAGAGGGGGGCGUCGGAAGCCCGUGCGGCUCCCGAGGACGACGGCGGCGGGGCAAACUAGUAGGCACGGGACGAC